CCUACGGGAGGCAGCAGUGAGGAAUAUUCCACAAUGGGGGAAACCCUGAUGGAGCGAUGCCGCGUGCAGGAAGACGCUUUUCGGAGUGUAAACUGCUUUUAACAAGGAAGAUUAUGACGGUACUUGUAGAAUAAGGACCGGCUAACUACGUGCCAGCAGCCGCGGUAAUACGUAGGGUCCAAGCGUUAUUCGGAAUUACUGGGCGUAAAGCGUUCGUAGGCGGUUUGAUAAGUUGGAUGUGAAAUCCUGUGGCUCAACCACAUGGACUGUGUCCAAAACUAUCUGACUAGAGCAUAGUAGAGGCAAGUGGAAUUUGCGGUGUAGGAGUGACAUCCGUAGAUAUCGCAAGGAACACCAAUGGCGAAGGCAGCUUGCUGGGCUAUUGCUGACGCUCAGGAACGAAAGCGUGGGGAGCGAACGGGAUUAGAUACCCCGGGUAGUCCACGCCGUAAACGAUGAUCACUAGCAGUAUGGAGAUUCCGACCCUUCUGUUGUUGCACAGCUACGUACGUAGUAGAUCCGCCGUCGGGUAGGUACGGGCGGCGAGACGUUAAACUACAAGUAGUAGUAGACGGCGUGAGACGUGCCGACGGACGACGACGAGGGAGGAGG
rnacentral:rRNA from 1 species